UAAGGUAGCGAAAUUCCUUGUCGGGUAAGUUCCGACCCGCACGAAUGGCGUAACGAUGGCCACACUGUCUCCUCUAGGGACUCAGCGAAGUUGAAGUGGUUGUGAAGAUGCAAUCUACCCGCGGCUAGACGGAAAGACCCCAUGAACCUUUACUGUAGCUUUACAUUGGACUUUGAUAACAUCUGUGUAGGAUAGGUGGGAGACGUUGAAAUAGGGACGCUAGUUCUUAUUGAGUCACCCUUGAAAUACCACCCUGGUGUUGUUGAGGUUCUAACCUUGGUCCAUUAUCUGGAUCGGGGACCGUGUAUGGUGGGCAGUUUGACUGGGGCGGUCUCCUCCCAAAGAGUAACGGAGGAGUGCGAAGGUAACCUAGGUACGGUCGGAAAUCGUACUGAUAGUGCAAUGGCAUAAGGUUGCUUGACUGCGAGACGGACAGGUCGAGCAGGUGCGAAAGCAGGUCAUAGUGAUCCGGUGGUUCUGUAUGGAAGGGCCAUCGCUCAACGGAUAAAAGGUACUCUGGGGAUAACAGGCUGAUUCCUCCCAAGAGUUCAUAUCGACGGGGGAGUUUGGCACCUCGAUGUCGGCUCAUCACAUCCUGGGGCUGUAGCCGGUCCCAAGGGUAUGGCUGUUCGCCGUUUAAAGAGGUACGUGAGCUGGGUUUAAAACGUCGUGAGACAGUUUGGUCCCUAUCUUCCGUGGGUGUAGGAUACUUGAGAAGAGUUGCCCCUAGUACGAGAGGACCGGGGUGAACGAUCCACUGGUGGAUCUGUUGUCGCGCCAGCGGCAGUGCAGAGUAGCUAUGAUCGGACAGGAUAACCGCUGAAGGCAUCUAAGCGGGAAGCCCCCUUCGAAACAAGGUAUCCCUGAGAGCCGAGGUAGACCACCUCGUCGAUAGGCCAGAGAUGUAAGCGCUGUAAGGCGUUCAGUUGACUGGUACUAAUGGCUCGAUAGGCUUGAUUUG
rnacentral:rRNA from 1 species